GACAGGGCAGAUAGGUGCAAGUUCCUGUCACCUGAGGAGGACUUUGUUGUUUUGUUUGUUUGUUUCUGAACCCCAGUCUCGUUCUGUCACCCAGGCUGGAGCACAGUGGUGUGAUCUCGGCUCACUGCAAACUCUGCCUCCCAGGUUCAAGCGAUUCUCCCACCUCAGCCUACCGAGUAGCUGGUACUACAGGGGUGCGUCACCACGCCUAGCUAAUUUUUGUAUUUUUAGUAGAGAUGGGGUUUCACCAUGUUGGUCUCUAACUCCUGACCUCUAGUGAUCCGCCCCCCUUGGCCUCCCAAAGUGCUGGGAUAACAGAUGUGAGCCACCGUGCCUGGCCAGGACUUUGGCUUUUAUGCCCAGCGAGGUGGGAGGUAUAGAGGGUUCUGAGCAGAGGAAGGACCUUGCCCUAACUCAAGUGUUCACAGGGGCCCAGUUGAGGCUUCAAGAGCUGCAGCCAGGAGAUGGGAGAGGAGGUGACUGUUCUAGUCCAGAUGAAUGAUAGUGGGGCCUGGACUGGGCAGUGUCCUUGGAGAAAGGGCUGAAUUUGACAUCCGUUUUGGAGGCUGGGCCAACUGGAGGUGCUGGGACAAGGGGGAUGACUCCUUGAUCAGGGUCCGAGCCUUUUGGAGGAUGGCGGGUCACUUUCUGAGAUGGGAGUGGGAUGGCUAUGGUAGGGGGCAGGCUGGCAGAGAGAGACGGCACCUCCCAGUCCUCCGUUCCCUUAAGCGUUUUUCAAGGAAAAGGGAAGCAGAUAUUUCCUAGACCUUUGUUUCUGUCUCCAGGAAGGGCAGGGCUUCCUCCCGGUUGCCAGACAGUCAGGCAGGCCAAAGAAUGGCCUCAGACCAGAGGCUGCCCACCAAGGGCAGAAGCCAUCCCAUAGUGUCCCAUGCAAACGCCUUGCAGUUCCCUCAGCCUGGAAUGCUCUUCCCUUCAACCCCAACAAGGCUGGCUCCUCCUGUCUUGUGGCCUGAGCUUUCUCCUAAAUGAGUGUCCCCCCUACUCCAUCCUGGGCCACAUCCUGGGCGUUCCUUGUCACUCGCCUUAAUAUUCGAAUUCCUUAACUCAUUACUUGCUGAAUUUCUUUUUUAAUUUUUUGAGACAGAGUUUCACUCUGUCACCCUGGCUAGAGUGCAGUGGCACGAUCUCAGCUCACUGCAACCCCUGCCUCCCAGGUUUAAGUGAUUCUCCUGCCUCAGCCUCCCGAGUAGCUGGGAUUACAGACAUACGCCACCAGACCCGGCUAAUUUUUGUGUUUUUAGUAGAGACGGGGUUACACCAUGUUGGCCAGCCUGGUCUCAAACUCCUGACCUCAAGUGAUCCACCUGCCUUGGCCUCCCAAAGGGCUGGGAUUAUAGGCAUGAGCCACUGCUCCCGGCCUAUUUAGUUUUUUUUUUUUUUUUUUUUUUGAGACAAAGUCUCGCUCUGUUGUCCAGGCUGGAGUACAGAGGUGUGAUCUCGGCUCACUGCAACCUCCGUUUCCUAGGUUCAAGAAAUUCUUCUGCCUUAGCCUCCCAAAUAGCUGGGAUUACAGGCACCCACCAACACCCCUGGCUAACUUUUGUAUUUUUUUUUUUUUUCAAGAUGGAGUCUCACUCUGUGGCCCAGGCUGGAGUGCAGUGGUGCGAUCUCGGCUCACUGCAACCUCCACCUCCCAGGUUCAAGUGAUUCUCCUGCCUCAGCCUCCCAAAUAGCUGGGACUACAGGUGCGUGUCACCACGCACAGCUAAUUUUUUGUAUUUUUAGUAGAGACAGGGUUUCACCGUGUUAGCCAGGAUGGUCUCGAUCUUCUUACCUCAUUAUCUGCCUGCCUCACCCUCCCAAAGUGCUGGGAUUACAGGCGUGAGCAAACGCACCCGGCCAACUUUUGUAUUUUUAUUUUACUUUUCAUUUUAUUUAUGUAAAUUUUUGUGAGGUCGUCUCACUCCGUCGCCCAGGCUGGAGUGCAGUGGUGCAAUCUCGGCUCACUGCAACCUCUACUUCCCAGGUUCAAGCGAUUCUCUUGCCUCAGCCUCCCAGGUAGCUGAGACUACAGGUACCCACCACCACAUCUAGCUAAUUUUUGUAUUUUUAGUAGAGAUGAGGUUUUACCAUGUUGGCCUGGCAGGUCUAGAACUCCUGACCUCAGGUGAUCCGCCCGCCUUGGCCUCCAAAAGGCGUGAGCCACUGUGCCCGGCAGAGCUUAUCUUUGAUUACAGAUUUCUUCUGGGGAAUAGCUUAGUUUGUGGUUUUGUUUUUCAAAACUCUGCUUCAGCAAAGAUGUGGGGAAAAAAAAAGGGCUAUGGAAACUCUUCUGAUUCCAGUUUUGGUGAUGGAAGACAGCCACCAGGAAACCCUGCCGAAAGAAUGGGUCAGAUCAAUAAUCUGAGCGGUCCCAGUCCUCCUCCAAUGGCUGAUGGAUGAGGAAGCCCUGGGGUUCCCCUAAACCAGACCGUGAGCCUCUUGAGACGGCGGAUCCCCAACAGUGCCCAGAACCUGGGAAGGAGCUCAUCGUUCUCAAUGCAAUUAUCAAAAAUGACACUGAGAAGUUAUCUUUAUCCUCCUUGAUUCAAAAAUACAAUUUAUUUUAAAAACAAAAAGAGGGAAUGGAUGCAGAAGCCCGUCUGGGCUUUCCGUGGAGUCGCCCCUUCCCAAUGGCGAUGGCCGCUCCCUGUGGCCUCAGCUUCCUCCGUGGAAUGAAGGGGUCCAGGUGACACCUUCCUCGAAGGGUGGGCGUGGGCCUGAGGCUCCCAAGUCGGCCAGGGGCUCGGCCUGGCUCAGAAGAGGUGCUUCACAUCAACAGUGGUACGGGGUGGCCGCUGGGCCCUGGGUAGCGUGGGGUAGGGGUCGGGGGAAGUCGCUGUAGGGCAGGCUGAAGGGGUAGAGGGGUCUGUAACGUGAGUCCUGCCAGAGCAGCUUGUCCUCCAGGAAGGCGACGGUGGGCAGCGUCAGGACCAGCGUCUGGUGCUUGAGCAUGCUGUGCACAU
rnacentral:lncRNA from 1 species